rnacentral:rRNA from 1 species
AGUGGGGAAUAUUGGACAAUGGGCGCAAGCCUGAUCCAGCCAUGCCGCGUGUGUGAAGAAGGCCUUCGGGUUGUAAAGCACUUUCAGCGAGGAGGAAGGGUUAGUCGUUAAUAGCGGCUAAUUUUGACGUUACUCGCAGAAGAAGCACCGGCUAACUCUGUGCCAGCAGCCGCGGUAAUACAGAGGGUGCAAGCGUUAAUCGGAAUUACUGGGCGUAAAGCGCACGUAGGCGGUUUUUUAAGUCAGAUGUGAAAGCCCCGGGCUCAACCUGGGAAUUGCAUUUGAAACUGGGGAACUAGAGUGUGUGAGAGGGGGGUAGAAUUCCAAGUGUAGCGGUGAAAUGCGUAGAGAUUUGGAGGAAUACCAGUGGCGAAGGCGGCCCCCUGGCACAACACUGACGCUCAGGUGCGAAAGCGUGGGGAGCAAA